rnacentral:rRNA from 1 species
UACGGAGGAUGCAAGCGUUAUCCGGAAUGAUUGGGCGUAAAGCGUCCGCAGGUGGCUAUGUAAGUCUGCUGUUAAAGAGUGAGGCUCAACCUCAUAAGAGCAGUGGAAACUACAUGGCUAGAGUGCGUUCGGGGCAGAGGGAAUUCCUGGUGUAGCGGUGAAAUGCGCAGAUAUCAGGAGGAACACCAAUGGCGAAGGCGGGUAGCUGGGCCGACACUGACGCUGAGGCGCGAAAGCCAGGGGAGCGAACGGG